rnacentral:rRNA from 1 species
AUUGAACGCUGGCGGCAUGCCUUACACAUGCAAGUCGAACGGCAGCACGGGAGCUUGCUCCUGGUGGCGAGUGGCGAACGGGUGAGUAAUACAUCGGAACGUACCCUGAAGUGGGGGAUAACGUAGCGAAAGUUACGCUAAUACCGCAUAUUCUGUGAGCAGGAAAGAGGGGGAUCGCAAGACCUCUUGCUUUAGGAGCGGCCGAUGUCGGAUUAGCUAGUUGGUGAGGUAAAGGCUCACCAAGGCGACGAUCCGUAGCGGGUCUGAGAGGAUGAUCCGCCACACUGGGACUGAGACACGGCCCAGACUCCUACGGGAGGCAGCAGUGGGGAAUUUUGGACAAUGGGCGCAAGCCUGAUCCAGCCAUGCCGCGUGAGUGAAGAAGGCCUCGGU